rnacentral:rRNA from 1 species
GACGAACGCUGGCGGCGUGCUUAACACAUGCAAGUCGAACGGAAAGGCCCUUCUUUUGUUGGGUGCUCGAGUGGCGAACGGGUGAGUAACACGUGAGUAACCUGCCCUUCACUUUGGGAUAACUUCAGGAAACUGGGGCUAAUAUCGGAUAGGAUCUCCUGCUUCAUGGUGGUGGUUGGACAGUUUCGGCGGUUGGGGAUGGACUCGCGGCUUUUCAGCUUGAUGGUAGGGUAGUGGCUUUCCAAGGCUUUGACGGGUAGCCGGCCUGAGAGGGUGACCGGCAACAUUGGGACUGAGAUACGGCCCAGACGCGUACGGGAGGCAGCAGUGGGGAAUAUUGCGCAGUGGGCGGAAGCCUGAUGCAGCAACGCCGCGUGCGGGAUGACGGCCUUCGGGUUGUAAACCGCUUUCGCCUGUGACGAAGCGUGAGUGACGGUAAUGGGUAAAGAAGCACCGGCUAACUACGUG